CGCAGGAAUUCAGGAAGAACGAGCAAAGAGCAUAAGUGCAGGAUUCUGAGCAGCUAAUGGAGGAGGAAGGUAAAGACGAUGCUGUGGAAAAGAUAAUACAAGGUUCUAAACAAACUGGAAAAAAUGCUUGAGAAAAUGUUACCCAUGAUGAACCACCUAUCCACCCUCAUCAACCAAAGCCAGUUCAGCUCCCAGGCAGUUUUCUUGAAAACUUGCUUAGCCUGCAACUUCUGCAUUGGACUCCUGGCAGUGCUUGGAGCAAGGGGCAAUGGCGACUGCACACCAGGAAACUGGUUCUGCUACCUAAUUUGGUAAAUUUCUUUGGAAAUAAUUCCAUUACCCGUGGGUAUCAACUGGACUUAACAUAUCAACAGCUAAGGAUGCCUGAAACAAUUGCUAAGGAUGCCUCUACAGACCUUCAUUAUAGUCCAUGCAUCAGGUAAGUUUCUCUCUAUUAUAUCCCAUAGAAAUCAGAGUACUGUCUUAAAAUACCAGAAUCCUUUUAUAUUCAAAUUGCUCUCCAUGAAGGACAGC
rnacentral:lncRNA from 1 species